rnacentral:sRNA from 1 species
GAUUCCCAGCACCCACAUGGUGGCUCACACUGACUGAGCUCCAGUUCCAGUGGAUCCAAUGCUGCCUCCUCAGGCACUCCAUGUUUGUGGUACAUUGAUAACAUGCCAGCAAAACACCAUACACACAAAAUAAAGCCAAUCCCCAGGCUGCGGAGGUAUUUCAGUGGGCAAAGCACUUGCUGUGAGGCAUGGGGACCGGACGUUUGGUCCCAGCAUGCACCUCAUGUCUGGCAGGCAGUUCCAAUAGACCACCUAUAAUCCCAGUGCUCCAGAGGUGGGAAAGGGAGAUCAUGGAGCCAGUUUAGCUGAUCCAAUGAGAUCAUGGUUUAGUUGAGACCCUGCUUCUAUUUCUAGUGACAAGCAAUAGAGGAAGACACUUGAUUGACAUCAACCUUCAACCCCCACAUAUAUGGGCACACCCUAGCACACCCUACAUUCUGUUAACCCUCUGGAGCCCUGCCAAACACUGUGUACUACAUGCUUUCCAUUUCGUCUUUUUUGAAAUCAGUUUUUCUCUGAGUGUUGUGACUGUCACUGUAGUGUCACUGUAGCCACUGUAGUGGCUUUCUACCACUUGUGUGCCCCCCCCCCCCCCGGACAUUUCCUAGUUGUGACUAACAGAAACAGCCUGUGGCCCUCUAGUUGCAUUACUGCCUUGGAUUCAUCCCUGGGAUUGUCCGGUUGUGGGUGUACUUGGUCCAGCUUGAGAGGAAAGCUUGUGACAACACAAGUAAUUGAUGAGGGGACCAGAUGAAGAUGGACAGAUGCCAAGGUUGGUGAAGUGAGGAGACUUCAUGACUAAAGUAAUGAACUAAAAAUCUCUCCAAAAGUCCAGUCUGAGGGGCUGGGAUCCUGUUUGUAUAAUGAUCACCUAGACUGCACGAAGCCCUAGGUUAGAUCCUCAAUACUUUGUCAACUUGUUCAGGGGUGCAGGCCUAUGACCCCGGCAUGUGGAAGGUGAAGGCAUGGGGAUCACAAUCUCAAGGUCAUCCUUCGCUACAUAAAGAUAAGGCUAGCUUGGGCUACACUGAGAUCCUUUCUUAAAAAGAAAAAAUAUAUCUCCAACCCGUGAUUAAGAAGUCCAAACUCCCUGCCUAGCACCAUUCCUUCCCCAGGGUAAGUUUUCCCACCCUUGGCCACCCACACACCCUGGCCUCACAGCUGGGGACAAUGCCAGGUGAUUCUUAAGAGUUCCAGGUUCUCCUUUGGUUGUUGGGUUUUUUGUUUGUUUUUUUUGUUUGUUUGUUUUGUUUUUUCCUGCUCAGUGUUUGAGCCCCUGGUGGAGAUUGCUAGCUCCUUUCUCCCCUGAUUGAGUGUCUCUCAUCAAACCAGCCUUCCAUUCCUGGCUGGGCUGGCAUCAAGGGAACCUAAAGACCCAUCCUCAUGAGGUGUUCUGGUCAAGCAGGGGCUGCCCUUGGGGAUUCGAUGUGCUUUUGCCACGUUAGGUCAGGUGACCUCAGCUCAUCAGGAGGAGAGAGGUUGAAGGAAAUGUAGGCACCGUCAAGAACCAGCACCCUCAGCAAGAGAUGCCCUUGUUCAUGCUAGUGGGGUGCUCAACUGGACCCAGGCAGGUGUGUGUGUCUGUCUGUCCGUCCGUCAGUCCCUGGCUGGAGGGUCCUGGCCUACCCAGCUCAGCUUGGUAUAUCACAUACCUGGCCACAGUAGCAGACGAAAUGUAGCAUAGCACCACUAGGCUGGUUUAAACCACCAUUGGGCCAUCUUCAGUCAAAUCCCAGGUAGGGCCAGGGAGUGAAGCAGGGAGUUUAGCUGCUUUGUUUUGCCUUCUUCCUGGAUGGAGUGCAGCCUGUCCUAGCGUGGCCUGAAGCGCUGUGGCUCUAGGAUGAAGUCUGAGAUCCAGACUACACAUACUCAUAAGUCAGCGCUAACAGGGUGGUGACCUGUUGCCAUCACAACUGGUUUUGGCACUGUGACCAGAACUCAACCUUUCUUUACAAUUCCCUAGAAAUGAAAACCCCCCAGACACCCUAUAAGGAAUUAAGGAUCUGAGGUUCGCUCUUCUAGUUUGGGUCACAGAAUCUCUCUCUUCUGUUGGAUGCCCCUGCUUUACCCACUUGCCAGGACCCUGUGUGUCAGACAAGUUGAGGUCCCCCACAGGGCCCCCUUGAAUGGGAUGUAGUGGAAUUAGUGUGAAUAGUGUGGUGGAAACAGGUGGCCUUAGUCUUCAUCUAUUUUUUUUUUUUUAAGACAGAGCCACACUAUGCACAGAAAUCCUCACAGAAAUCCUCUUGCCUCUGCCUCCUGAGUGUUGGGAUUAAAGGUAUAUGCCACCACACUUGGCUAUUGUCUUUAUCUUUUCAGUAAUUACUGUAAAAACAAAAAACAAAAAAACCUCUAAGAACUGGGCAUGGUGAAGUAAUACACACAUGGAAUCCUGGCAUUUGGAGGGUGGAGCCAGGGAUCAAAUAUACCCUCAGAAUGUGUACCACGCCUCCGGAUACUUGCUGGGUACUUCACUGGGUAAGGGGUGUACAGUGCAACAAGGAACCAGGGGUUGAGGUCUUGUGUUCUCAAAGGCACAGGACAUUCAAGUGUGUUCUGACUCAAGGCGCCUGGCAUCAAGAGGCCUAAGAGGAGGUGAGGUCUAAGGGUGGGUGUGGCACUUUGUGGUUUAGCCCUUCCAGGAGAGACCUGGUACAGAGCUGGAAGCUGUCCUGUGUCACUGCUCAUCUAUUUGGGACCAGGAUGGCCCUUCCUUCAGGCACCUCCCUUGAGUCUCGGGUAGAGAUGUGGAGAGAGUCCAUGUGCCCACAGGUCCAGCAGACAUCCGCUUCAUCUGGGAGAAGAACAGGCGUGUCCUGGAGACAUGUGUACCUAUGCAGACCCAUGCGCUGCCUGAUGGCAGGGCCCAUGCCCUCAGCUGGCUUCGGGACACCAUCCAAGAAACCACGGAAUACAGCUGCUCUGUCCUCUCCUCAGCAGGGAACCAGACCUCAAAGGUUCACGUCACUGUGAUGAGACAUGAGGCACUACAGCAGGAAAAGUGGAACCAGGAGCUUGCUGCAUGGCGCCUGGUGGCUGGGGAGCAUGACCGGCUGAUGCAGGGCUGGAGGAAGGCAUGGGAAAGCUGCAGCAAGGAUACCUUCUAGCCGCCUGAGACAGCGCUCAGUGGAUCCCACGUGACCUCGUUGGCAGCAGCUGCAGAUGUACGUGGUGAAGGCACAGCACCCACAGCGCCAAGCUUCUGUGUCUUGGCUGGCUCCAUACAGCGUUUGCCACAGCCUGAGUGUCCCUUCUAGAGGCUGGGAAUCGCAAGGCUUGAACUGCACAGGCCUGAGACAGAGAGCAAGACCUCCUAACAUGUAGCAGAAAGCUAAGCCUGCCUGGCAGACAGGGAGCUGAGCUGUUUAGGAGGCUCCCCCCACCCCACCCCCAGCAGAUGACAGAGCAGUCCGUGAAGGCUAACCCGAUGGCAGCCACCCUGCAUUCUUCCCAGGACUUCAUGCACUCCUGCUCCUCCCCCAGGGUCAGCACAGCUAACCUCGCUCCGGUUCUGCUGAUGUGGCCACCCAGGAACAGGUUGAUCUACUGGGAUAGGAGAGCUGAGACUCCACAUGAGGAUAUUUUGCCUUAAACCUUGAGUGAUGAUGAAGUUGCUCUUUGCUUAUCUCAGAACCCAAGGCUAUUUUCCAAAGCACAGUGCUUCCCACCUGUUCACUCUGUCAGCGCUCCGCUUCUGAGGUAGAAAAGCCAAACAGGUCAAUUAUGCAAAUCUCCUGGUGCCGUAUUAAACUGUUUUCCAGUGCUGAGUUAGCA